rnacentral:rRNA from 1 species
UACAGAGGGGGCAAGCGUUGUUCGGAAUUACUGGGCGUAAAGGGCGCGUAGGCGGCUUGUUAAGUCGAACGUGAAAUCCCUGGGCUCAACCCAGGAACUGCGUCCGAUACUGGCAGGCUUGAAUUCGGGAGAGGGAUGCGGAAUUCCAGGUGUAGCGGUGAAAUGCGUAGAUAUCUGGAGGAACACCGGUGGCGAAGGCGGCAUCCUGGACCGAUAUUGACGCUGAGGCGCGAAAGCCAGGGGAGCAAACGGG